CCUUACCUACCCUUGACAUGCCAGGAACUUGCCAGAGAUGGCUUGGUGCUCGAAAGAGAACCUGGACACAGGUGCUGCAUGGCCGUCGUCAGCUCGUGUCGUGAGAUGUUGGGUUAAGUCCCGCAACGAGCGCAACCCUUGUCAUUAGUUGCUACGAAAGGGCACUCUAAUGAGACUGCCGGUGACAAACCGGAGGAAGGUGGGGAUGACGUCAGGUCCUCAUGGCCCUUAUGGGUAGGGCUACACACGUCAUACAAUGGCCGGUACAGAGGGCUGCCAACCCGCGAGGGGGAGCCAAUCCCAGAAAACCGGUCGUAGUCCGGAUCGCAGUCUGCAACUCGACUGCGUGAAGUCGGAAUCGCUAGUAAUCGCGGAUCAGCUUGCCGCGGUGAAUACGUUCCCGGGUCUUGUACACACCGCCCGUCACACCAUGGGAG
rnacentral:rRNA from 1 species